rnacentral:lncRNA from 1 species
GCACAAGUACAAGAAGUCAUCCAGGCACAAUCAUAACAAAUGAACAUACAAAUAACCAACCGUUAUGUAUAUUCAUACACCAUUCACUACAGAUUCAUAUUUAUGCAUAAAUCCACACCUAUCAGUUAAAAUGUUUCCAACCACAGAAACAGGUUUUGAAAUACUAAGAUGCAAAAUCCACAGAAACCUUUUGAAAACUGUUUCCUACACGGAAACCUUUAUUCUUUAAAAACGCUACCACGAGGGGUAGAAAACCUUUUAUUUUACAAAAUCCAGAAAUCCGUUUAUUACAUUCACGAAAAUCCAUAUUUUCAAAUGUAAUAAAAAUACUGAACCAUAUAACUAUCUAAGCUAUAACAACUGAAAUAAUAAGGGUAAUAACUAUACCGAAAUAACCUGGGUCGGAAGCUCUAUCGACCGCUACACACGUACCUCACGUCUCGUCCCACUACUCAUCGCCUGCAAUACCUGAAAAAUGGUGGGGGAGGUGAGAACAUGUAAACAUGUCCCCCUCCCAGUGGGUACCGCAAGCCAAUGAAGGCGAGGAGUACUCACCGGAUCAGGAAGAGCUAAAUAACAACAAGGGUCAGUGAAAAUAUAGUAGCAACAAUAAUAUGGUAAGGAGCAGAUAUACCGAAUACAGUAGCAAUAAACUGAAAGAAAGUAAGAACUAGGCUGAAUAACGGCUACCGCUACUGUAACUGGAACCGAAAGCAUACAUGAAUAUCUACUAUAGCAGCAAGACAACUAUAAAGUAAGAACUAUAAGUAUGCAUGCAACGACUGCUGCUAUAGACAUAUGCGUCAACCGGUCAAGAAGUCCAAAAGUACCCAAUCUGAAACCAAUGCUCUCUUGGUCAGCACCGCAGACCUCAAGCCAAUACCCUGGAGGUCCGCACCGCAACACCUCCCGACAGUACCACUGCCGCUCUAACAU